rnacentral:rRNA from 1 species
ACUCCUACGGGAGGCAGCAGUGGGGAAUAUUGGACAAUGGGCGCAAGCCUGAUCCAGCCAUGCCGCGUGAGUGAUGAAGGCCCUAGGGUUGUAAAGCUCUUUUGUGCGGGAAGAUAAUGACGGUACCGCAAGAAUAAGCCCCGGCUAACUUCGUGCCAGCAGCCGCGGUAAUACGAAGGGGGCUAGCGUUGCUCGGAAUCACUGGGCGUAAAGGGUGCGUAGGCGGGUCUUUAAGUCAGGGGUGAAAUCCUGGAGCUCAACUCCAGAACUGCCUUUGAUACUGAGGAUCUUGAGUUCGGGAGAGGUGAGUGGAACUGCGAGUGUAGCGGUGAAAUGCGUAGAGAUC